GGAUCUUCCUGAGGCCCCGGCAGCCGGCUGUCUCGUGUCUGGAACCCUGUGCAGAUCCGACAAGAGACCCCCGCGGAGGGGGUACUGGUCCCAUGACAACGGACACACCCGUCAGCGCCAGGUGCGAUCCGGCGACAGGGUUUUCUAAGUGGACUUCCUCCAGGAGGGUGAGGAUGGAUGACGCAGCACUAAGAACAUACUAGAACCAGCUGUCACACGGCACACGGCUGGUGACUGGAGCUUCCCCGUCACUCACCUGGGAAGGAGCAGGUCAGGAACCCCCAGUCCUGCAGGUCCUCAGCGCAGGGCACGGCCCCUUGCUCCAGAUGGGAGAUGAGGGGUGGCUUAGGGCAGGCAAGGCCUGCUCGUGGAGAAGGGAAGUCAGUGUGCAUAGCAGAUCACCUCUGUCCCAACACCUGGCCUUGACCCUUCUGCUCACACUGCAGAGGAGAGUGUGAGCAGGGGGGAGAAAAGGGUGUACUUGGGGGGGUCUGCCAAGGUGUAAGCAAGCAUGUAGGGAUGACCUCAGAAAGGUCACGCUCAGAAGGGCAGAGGAGGAGACCCCAGGAAGCAGUCACUUGGUUGUAUUUUCCCCGUUGUGGCUGCGAGGCAAGAAUGAGGGCUCUGACUUUCACUGGGAGGCCCGGAGACGUCAAUAGACAGCAAGUAAAGAGUAAGGACAGGAAAAAGGACUAAGCCAAGCAUGGGGUGUCCUCACCAGCCGACAGCAUGUUGCCAUAGUUCUCCAGCAUCACGUCAGUGUACAGGUGCCUCUGGGCGCGGGUCAGACACUGCCACUCUCCGCUACUGAAGCACACGGCCACAUCCUCAAACGUCACCGCGUCCUGCAAGGAUAUGCUCCCGCUGACCCGGAGGAAACCCCAGUCCCCAGGAAACAGACGCAGAAGAAGGGAUUCUCAGGAGGUUUCUAGAAAUGAAAGGAAGGAUGGAGGGGCCUCAGCUCGCCUGGGCCCCACUCACCGGUGUGGUAUUUGCUCCUGGCCGGUCUCCGUGGCUUCCGUCGUUGGCAAAGGCAGGAUGCUGAGGAGCCCGCAGGGCUGAGGGAAGAGAAAUGAGUCAACUUGGCACGAUUCCGUGCCCCAUGGGAGGCUUGAGCUCACGACCCUGAGUCCAAGUCAUGUGCUGCACCAACUGGGCCAGCCAGGUGCCCCCAAAGUUUUUUGAACUGUGGCACAGAAUAUGUGACAAAAUUUACCGUCUUAAGCAUUCUUAAGUGUAUGGUUCAGCAGUGUUGAAAACACACAAUGUGAGUCAUCUCCACAACUUUUUCAUCCUGCAAAACUUAAACUCUCUAUGCAUCACACAACCUGCCUGUGUCUCUCCCUCCCCAGUCCCUGGUCACCACAGUGAUUCUUAGGCUUUAUUUUUUAGCUUUAGAUUUUGAAAGGUCAGUUUCUGCCCUCAAGUUAAAAAUGAAUCUGGGACACAGGCUGUGUGCUCACGACAUGAAACUACCUUGGUCAGCUCAGGCUGCCCUAACAAAAUACCCCAGGCUGGCUGGCUCACUUCUCUCAGUUCCGGAGGCUGGACGUUCAGAUCCAGGUGUCGGCCCCUCCUGGCUUCCGUCCCUCUCCUCUCACAUGGGAGAGACAGAGUUCUGGGCCCCUCCUCAUAUAAGGACACUACUCUCUUCAUUGCCAUCCUUAUGACUUUAUCUAAACCUCAUUUCUUCCUGAGGCCCCACCCACCUCUCCAUAUCAUCACACGGGUUCAGGGACAUGUGCAUUUUGAGGGGACACAUUCAGUCCAUAACAAAACUAUUUGUUAAAGCUGGGCACAGAUAGUAUCUGGGAUGAGACUGAUUCAUUUAUGAUUCCUUAUACAGUAGAAAUGUCAGGAUUUCUCCUUUGGAAGUGCCAAUAACAUACUUUUUUUUUUCAUUGUAGACAAUAAAUACUAAAAGCCUACUUUCGAGGUGCCUGGUGCCUCGUCCUCUGUCCAAAGGUCGGUGCCAUUCAGGGUCUGCCUGUAGGACUCCAGAAUUGCUAAACGCCAGGCCCUGGGUUUUACUUCCAGCAGCCACGUCUAUACAGCCUUGUCCACCUUCCUCUGCACAUGUCCCAUCAAAGAGCAUUUCUAAACCCAGCCUCGCAUUUUCCCAAAGCUUCACAAGACCUUUGCUCCUUCUUGGCCAGUUGUUUCCAGAUCACUCACUCUGAGGGAGGCCAGCUGUCACAUUGUGAGGAGUGGCCCACAUGGUGAGGAAAUGAAACCCCCGCCAACAGCCAUUUGAAUGAGUUUAGAAGUGCAUCCUCCAGCCCCCAGUCUAGCCAUCAGAUGACUACAGCCCAGAUCACAGACUCAAAGCCAACAGUUGAGCUGCUCUCAGAUUCCUGAUCUGCAGAAACUGUGCGAGGUAA